rnacentral:misc_RNA from 1 species
GUGAAUCAUCGAAUCUUUGAACGCAAAUUGCGCCUUUUUCGGAAGGCAUGUCUGUUUGAGGGCACCAUUUAACAAAUAAUGUGCACCGUUUUGUGUGUGCACACGUUGAUGAGCUUUCCAGGAAAAAUUUUUUUUUUUUUUUUUUUUUGUUGGGCCAAAUGAAACAGGGGGAAACUUUUUUUUUCAUUUGAG